CAAUUCUGCUUUAAAUCUAUUCCUGUAUUGUAGUCUAAUGAAAAAGGGUUAGAAGUUUGGUCACGUCCCUUGUCAAAUGGAAGUGUAGCUGUUGUUCUGUUUAAUGGUAAUACAAGAGAACCUGUUGAAAUCAGAGCAGAUUUUAAACUGGUUGGAUUGACGUCAGCUACAGCCUUUGUCAGAGACUUGUUUACUCACACUGACCUGGGCAAGUUUGCUAAGUUCUACAGUGCCGAAGUCAACCCCUCGGGGGUCAUAAUGGUUAAAUUGACACCAGUCAAAGAUUCCUUUUAUUAGCUUGCAGAUGUCA